CCUACGGGAGGCUGCAGUGAGGAAUAUUGGUCAAUGGGCGCGAGCCUGAACCAGCCAAGCAGCGUGAAGGAUGACUGCCCUACGGGUUGAAAACUUCUUUUAUAAAGGAAUAAAGUGAGGCACGUGUGCCUUUUUGUAUGUACUUUAUGAAUAAGGAUCGGCUAACUCCGUGCCAGCAGCCGCGGUAAUACGGAGGAUCCGAGCGUUAUCCGGAUUUAUUGGGUUUAAAGGGAGCGUAGAUGGGUUGUUAAGUCAGUUGUGAAAGUUUGCGGCUCAACCGUAAAAUUGCAAUUGAUACUGGCAGUCUAGAGUGCAGUAGAGGUAGGCGGAAUUCGUGGUGUAGCGGUGAAAUGCGUAGAUAUGACGAGGAACUCCGAUGGCGAAGGCAGCUUACUAAACUGCCACUGACAUUGAUGCUCGAAAGUGUGGGUAGCAAACAGGAUUAGAUACCCCUGUAGUC
rnacentral:rRNA from 1 species